UGUUCGUCCACCUGACUCCUGCCUUCACCGCGGGAUCCCUUGUGCUGUUUUGGCCUCCUUCCUGCUGUGCACGCAUCCAGUGAUAUUCCUGGACUGCUGUCGGCUGCUGAACAUGGGCCUCAUAACCGACCUCAGCUGAUUGCAGAGCUUGCGAUAACACAAGGAGCGGCAACAUCAAGGCUACCUUGGUUCAAGUUCCGAACGCUGCUGUUUUGUUUUCACCUAAGUUGUGAUGGUCGAUUUUACAUGUUUUGUUUAUUGCAUGUUUGCA